rnacentral:lncRNA from 1 species
CGGGCAGCCAGAUGCUGGAACGGGAGGCACAUGUUCCGGCCCCGGCCCCUGGGAAGGAAAGAAAGGACCUUCCCGUUUCACUUGUCUCGGCUGAACAUGUAGCGGAGGAGGUCGACCACCCGGUGACUGUAGCCAUAUUCGUUGUCGUACCUGUGGAGGAGGGGUCGGGAGGUUCAAGGGGGUUCCUUCCGACCACCCCUUAGUUCCCCUCCCUCUAAGUCUCCAGCUCCUUCCCCCUUACCAUGAAAUGAGCUUCACGAAAUUGUCAUUGAGCGCAAUGCCGGCCUUAGCAUCGAAGAUGGACGAGUGGGUAUCACCGAGGAAGUCCGUAGAGACGACCUGGAAGUCAGAAUUUCAAAGAUAAGUGUGUCCGGCAGAGCAAGGACCUCCAGGAGCUGAGGCCCCGACUCUUAACUCUAUCGCCCAUCCAUGCAUUCAUCUAUAAUAUUUGAUGUAGCCCUACUGUGUCCAGUCUCUGGACUGGAGGGUAUGACCAAGUGCAGGGUAUGACCAAGGCACUGUGUCAGGGUCUGGCCAAAGGGCACAGGUCACAAACACCCUCAUGCUGUACCAGUACAUCCCUUUCCUAGGAAUAAUGCAAGCGUUUGGAAUGGGCCAGCAUGGAGGGCCUCUCUGAGGGGUGGCCAUGAGCCUGGGUCUAGAUGACUAGAAAGAUCUGACCGGCUGGGGCCCUCAGCACAGUGUCUGAGGUAGAAGGAGCUGCAGGAAGGGAGGACCUGAGGGUUUUAGCCCUAGUGUCAUGAAAGGCCACAGGAGUGUUUUCAAUCCUGAAAACGGGUGAUGCAAUGUGAUUCCAUUAAAACAAAAGAUCCCAGUGACUGUGGGAAAGUGGACCUGCAGGAGUUAAUGCAGGGAGACAGCACCAAGGUGGAUGUACAGGGGUCCACCAUGACCAUGGCAUCCACUCCUCACAGAGAAGGCAUCUGGCCAUGGCCUGGCCCUGAGCAAGUAUUGAAAAAAAUGGGAGCUGUUGUCUUUUGUUCACUAAGCAUGUAUUAGUCACCUGCUGUAUGCCAGGUUGGAGCCACAAAAGUGAAAAGGCAGCCCCUAAAUCCCUGUUUUCUUGGAGUGCACACACCACUGGGGCCAACAGUGACUAUGAAAUGAAAUUUCAGGUGAGGAAUAUGGCCACAAAAAGAACAUAUUUUGAGGGGGUGCCUUGCUGAAGAGGGAGGUUCCUCCAGAGACUUGGAGGAAGUAAGGACAGACUGUAUGGUCACCUGGCAAGGGAAGCAUUCCAGACUAAAGGAACAGCAAGUGCAAAGGCCCUGAGGCAGGGAGAUCUCCCUUCCUGCCCUGCAGUUUCUGACUUGGCACAUUGAGAGCAGCUCCCUGGCAAGUGGAAAUCAUGUCCCUUCCCAGAGGGCUCCUCCCAGGGUCUCCUCUCCUCAGCCCCUACCUCAUCCUCGGUGUAGGCAAGGAUGCCAGCCAUGGGCCCCUUGGCUGCUGCUUUUACAGCCUCCUUGAUGGCUGAGUAGGGGGCAGGCUGGGCGAGGCGGCAGGUCAGGUCCACGACAGACACAUCCGGGGUUGGUACCCGGAACGCCAUCCCUGUCAGCUUCCUGGAGAAUCCCCCAUGAGGAACAGGAGUCAGAACUUAGGGACGUUGCCCUCCAUUCCCCCUUUCCCUGUGGCUGGGCCAGGCCCCUGCUUUCCUCUUAAGGACUGAGGGCCGGGCCAGUCCAGUCCUCCUGGCGUAUGCCCCCACCCUGGUUGCAGCUUCUUGUCCUCAUACCCUUUGAGCUCUGGGAUGACUUUGGUCACAGCUUUCGCAGCCCCAGUGGAGGCUGGGAUGAUGUUCUGGUGGGCACCCCGCCCAUCUCGCCAGGCCUUCCUUGAUGGCCCGUCCACUGUCUUCUGGGUGGCCGUGUAGGAAUGGACUGUGGUCUUGGGGAAGAGAAGGACCAAGAUGAGGCCUUCAUGCUCCUAAGCUCCCAUGCCUCUUUUUUCCAGGACUAAGUUGGUGGCCUAGGUGUGGAGGCUGGUGGGGCCACCACCACAGACCACAGGAGGGGAUGUGUGCAGGCCAGGGUCCAGCCUUGCCUGAGGGUUGCACAGUGUUUUAAGUGACUUCUGCACUGGUGGGCCUCUCCUCCCGAAACCAGUCUCUCCCUCUUAACUCCAUACAGUAAGCAAGGCCCGGGAAGAAGUUGGGUUUCCCUGCCAUCCUUCCUGCCCCAGCCCCUCAUCCUCAACUCACCAUCAACCCUUCCACGAUCCCAAAUCGCUCGUGGAUGACUUUGGCGAGGGGAGCCAAACAGUUGGUGGUGCAGGACGCGUUGCUGAAACAGCCAAGGUGUGCACGGACACUGUGAGGUGAGUCGCAGAGCCACCCCUCCACCCUUACCCCUCUUGGGGUAUGCACGCAGACUUGGUUUUAUGAAACGUCAGGAUGAGGGUGAGAGGGAUCUGUGGGGACACUGUCAGACUGAAGGAGGCACUGAGGUGCAGCUGGGGAGGCUCCCCAAGCUUGUCCUCUGGAAGUCAUGCGUUUUUAGCAGAUAGUUUCGGGAAGGAGAAGCAGAAGCCAAGCGACCAGGAAUCCAGUGGGGCUGAGGGUGGGGAGGACGAGUCUACCCUCCCUUCCACACAUUGCAGGAUGUCACUGCCCACAUUACCUCACAAUGUUCAUGGAGCCAGGGUUAUAGUCAUUUUCAUUGACACCCAUGACGAACAUUGGUGCAUCCGGUGAGGGCGCGGAGAUGACCACACGUUGAGCACCUGCAGAGAUGUGGUCCUGGGGAGGAAGCGCAGGUGUCAGGGGCUUCUGGCACCAUCAUCCCCCCAGCUAGCCCUGGGCACCUCUCCCCAGCUUACCGAAGCUGCCUGUAUGGAGAGGUACACGCCUGUGGACUCCACCACGUAGGGGCUCCCGACAGCCCUCCAGGGGAUCUGUUUGGGCUCUUUGCUGUGGGGAAGUGGCAGGGCUGAGUCAGUCUCCCCUGCUUGAGCCCCACCUUCAUAGUCCAUGGCUUUCACCAUUUGACAGGCUGAGCAGGUACCGGCCCACCUGCAACCACCUGCGUCCCCUACCCCACACACCUACUUGUUCCAGAUGGGCUCCACCCCGCUGGCCUAGCUUUUCACCACUGCCCCACUUCAGACCACUUUCCCUUUGCUGAUUGCACCACCCCUGUUAUGCCUGGGUACAGGUGGUGACCUCCCCAACUCAGCCCUCAACCUCCUCAGAGGCGCCAAUGCUGACUGCUGUCAGCCAGCCCAGACCCUUUCUCCAUAUGCUGCCCGGGACGUGGACUCUGUGACUGUGAGGCCUGCCCGGCUGCUUUCUGCUUCCCAGCUCUGACAACCUCGCCAUGAACCCUCCUAGACCCUCAGCUCCUGCAAUAGGAAGCUGGCUGCCAAAGGCCAGGAGGGUCCCUGAAAACAGACACUGCAUUAAAGAAAAAGCUCCUGGAGGACUCCUGAAGCCUGAGGCAGCCUUGGGGCAGCAGUGGCUCAUGGUUUACAUUGGAAAGGUUUAUCAUGAGUAACCGGGUGCUUUGCUUCUGUGAUUCUUGGCCAGUGUCGGUCUGUUUCCUUUGCCAUUGAGCCUGCUCCCCUCAAUGGGGGGUUCAAUCAAUGUUUGUGGGGUUUGUUUGUUUUGAGACAGGGUCUUCCUCUGUCGCCCAGGCUGGAGUGCAGUGGUGCAAUCAGAGCUCACUGCAGCCUUGAUCUUCCUGGCUCCGGCCAUCCUCCUGCCUUGGCCUCCCGAGUAGCUGGGACUACAGGCGCACACCACCAUGCCAAGCUAAUUUUUAAAUUUUUUUGUAGAGAUGGGGUCUCACUUUUGUUGCCCAGGGUGCUUUAGAACCCCUGGGCUCAAGUGAUCCUUGACCUCCCACAGUGCUGGGAUUACAGGUGUGAGCCACCGUGCCUGGCCUCAUGGGUUUUCUUUGUUUUGUUUUGUUUUGUUUUUGAGACAGAGUCUCACUCUGUCACUCAGGCUGGAGUGCAGUGGCACGAUUUUGGCUCACUGCAACCUCCACCUUCCGGGUUCAAGCGAUUCUCCUGCCUCCGCCUCCCGAGUAGUUGGGGUUACAGGCAUGCGCUACCACACCUGGCUAGUUUUUUAUUGUUGUUGUUUUUUGUAUUUUUAGUGGUGACGGGGUUUGCUCUGUUGGCCAGGCUGGUCUCAAACUCCUGACCUCAGGUGAUCCCCACUUCAGCCUCCCAAAGUGCUGGGAUGACAGGCAUGAGCCUCUGCACCUGGCCUCGUGUUUUUUUUUUAGUUAGCCAUUUUAUACGUGUUUACUGAACACCUGUCCUGUGCCCAUAUUCUAAGUGCCUUACCUGCAUUAAACUCAUGUAACCUUCACAACCCG